AGUCUUCUAGUGGCCUUCAGAUGAAGAUGUAGAACUCUUGGCUACUCCAGCACCAUGCCUGCCUGGAUGCUGCCAUACUUGCACCUUGAUGAUAAUGGACUGAACCUCUGAACCGGUUGUAGAAUAAGAAAGAAGGACCCCAAAUUUGAAGUCAGUGGCUGGGCUCUGUAAGCAUGAGCCCACAAGAAGUCCGAUGGCUGGCUUAAUCUACUAACUCCCACCUCGACAGGAUUUACGAGCUCUCAGAAACAUCUGGGCCUGGGUUUCCUGAUAGUGACACCCGGCGGAGACCUGAAGUAGCCUCGAUCGACGCUGGCUCUUGCAGGCGGAAGAUCGAAUUCAGU
ensembl:lincRNA Gm12796 predicted gene 12796